UUCCUCAAGAAAUCCAAAGAGCGCAGGCAGGGGAAUCCAUCUGGACCCUAUGUAGCUCUCAGAGAGGUGGGAGAGAGCCCAUCAGGUCUGAGCCGGCAGUAAAUUGCCCGCAGGUGUAGCCAGGGACCCUUCUUCGUCUAGAUGGCUUGAGAUACACCAUCCUGAACCUUGGCCCCUGGCCACAUUCUUUCCUGAUGGGUAGAGGAGGGUAAAGUUAAUACUCACAGGAGUAUUGUAUUUCCAGUUCUUAACUGUGCUGCCUGCAAGCAUGGCACAAGAACUACAUGGGCAAACAAACUACUGAAUUUCAGCAAGGCAGUUUAGCAAAUUCUUUUAUAAAUUUGAAGGAACCUGUGGAUUGGAUGAUUCUGCGUUGUGGCAGCAUUGUCAACUGAUGGACCCACCAGUUCCUGAAUCCUGCUGACUAAUGGAUCAUUGUCAACUUGCUGGAGCUUUGAGGAAGGGCUUCAGAAGCUGAUGGCAUAGUUAUGAGAGGGGUGAAGACUGCGACUGCAUUUCCAACAGACCCUGAGGACAAUUGGGAAGAAUGCGCUGAAUAUUUUUGAGCAAUUUCUAUAUGAUAAGCAGUUUUUAGGCAAGGGGGAUGAGUCCAUAAGAUGACACUGGAAAAGGGGAUUGGCUUGAGUGCACCAGGGGGCCAGAGACAUGGGUCAUCCCUGGUGACGGGAGUUGGAAUGCUCCCCUGAGAUGGAGACUGGAAGUACAAGAAAGAAGAAAGUUGUUGUGAGGUCAGGAGCAUGGUGGCUGGAUAGAUCUUCAAAGUAUGAAGAGCAUUAGCUUUUGCGUCAGAUUGCCUAGGUCUUCCACCUAUUAAUUGGGUGAUUUUAGGACAAUGUCAUCAUUUGUGGCUCCCUAGAAUCAGACCUUAAGUCAAGGGUUGAGAACAAGUUAUUAAUUUAGUGUUGAUUCCAGGAAACACUGGCAGGAGAGUAGGGAACUGAGAAAGGAAAGGCACAGAAUAUAGGGUGGAUUAUUGAGCAAGUUAGCACAGUGGGAAUAGGAGCUGAAUUCUACUGAGGAGCCCUCAGAACAAAUGUAGAGCAUAUCUCCCCAGAGUUAUUCCACACAAUCCUAUCAGCUGUGGUUAAAGGUUUCUGCAGGGCGAGUUCUGGCAAUUCCAGUCUGCUCUACAGGCGGGCAGGGUGGACUCACUCAGGCAGAGUCACAGGUGUGGGUAGUUGGUUGGAAGUCUGGCUGGAGUGCAAAAGAAUGUUAAGAGAUGAAUAAAUAUGGGAAGGCACAGCUAGCACUCUUACAGAGAGUCCAUUAACAUUCCUGAGUCUGUUUCCUCAUUUUUAAAGUGGGAAUUCCAAGAACUAUUUUGGAAACGUUGAAAUGUAAGUGAAGGCAUUGGCUGGGAUCCAGGACCCCAAACACUCUGUCUUACCAUAGUAAGAGGUCUCAAUUCUGUCUUCCUAUACUCACUCUUCCUUUGGAAGUGUCCAUGGUGUAUGUUUGUGUCUAUGCACACAAACAAGGCUGAGAAAAGGAACACCCUACAACUAGAUGGAACCCUAAUCCUGUUCAGCUAAGACUAUAUAGAUCUGUGGGAAUUCUGUUGCUCAGAGAAGGCAAUCCUAACUUUGGGCAGGAGGUCUCUUUGGACCCUUUAACCAAGAGCCAUGCCAAAAUAUCAGCCCUCUGAUUCUCAAACUCUGAUACUGGGAAAAGGUAAGUCUUUUAGAGAAUUAACUAGAUAAAUGCAGUUAUAAAGUACCUAGUACAGUACCUGACAUAUAGUGUCUGCCAUAUAGUAGGUUUCUCCAAAAUGUGAAUGCAUCCUGUCUCUAUGCCUUUCUUCUCUGAUUUUCUUUAAAUACCGGGCAUAUCAUCUAUAACGCUGCUUUCCCAACUUCAGAUUAAGAUGACCAUGGGAACAGUCCCUGUGUGCAUAAGCAGUUGACAGAGGUGGAUGCUAAUUCAAUUAAUAGUAUCCAUAGGCCAGUGAGCAACCAAUGAGGGGACCUGGAGCAAAAGACACUGUCCAAGUGGGUAGAGAGUAACUAGCUAAAUCAAUGUGUCCAUCUCCCUUUUGGGCUGUAGACUGGAAAAUAUGGAGAGUGGCCAGUUAUUACGGGGUAGGAGGAGAGAGAGAGAGAGAUGAAGAGAGAAGAGGAGGCACAAAAGUAGCAGAAUAGGAGUCUGAGAGGGCAUCUGAGUCAAGAUAAGGUGAAGCUGGGGGCUAUGACGUAAGUGACACUCCUUUUCCAGGAAGCAGCAUAUACCUGCCCCCAACCCUGCCCAACAUGCCAAUGCCUACUAGUCCAAAGCCACCUGAGUCCUGGGAGCAGCAUUGCCAUGUGCGAGAGUAGUAGGGGCACUGGCAGGAAUGCACUCCAUUCGUCUCACUGGAUUAAGCAUCUACUGGUCCCAGAUCAGAUUGGCCUGUGUCAGCACCUUUGAGUGAAACACACGCCCCUCUGGCUUAUGUCACUUGCAUAUUUGACAACUCAGCUAUACUUAAGACAGCUCCCCAAAGCCUGCUCUAACCCUCACUGGAGAGCAGGCAGCUCACACUCUGGUGCUACCAUGUGUUACCUGGGCCCUGAGUUAGGAAGAGAGAUUGCCUGUGGUAUCAGAUCAUGCCAUGGGGAUUCUGAGUCCAUGCUGAGUGGGGUUUCUUUUCAGGAUUUCAUUCUGAGAAAGAAUGCAAAGGAAGAAUAUAGAAUUACACUAGCAGCAAAGCAGAAGGACAGAAGGGAAGACAGGAGUCAAGUGGGUUGUCAUAUGAUGAGGUCAGAGUGAAUAGAGCACUAACAAAACUAAGCGAGCAUCAAAUGGAUAUUUGCAAGGUCUAUGUAUGCAUGCAUUCAGAUACAUUUUAUCAUCUUUAUUUUUUAGAAUAUUAUUUCAUUAACUCUAAGUUUUGCAGCUUUUUGGGGUUUCCAAAAUGGGUUACCUCUCCUAAAAACAGUUGUACUUGAUUCAAGAUAUCAAUUAAAUGGGUACUGGAGGCAGCCAUGGCCACAGCCUCUCCUUUUGUUCCCUUUCUUUGUGAGGGCAAGUAUAGGUUGCACUGAUCCUGACCUUUUGGCCUGAGGAUGGAAGUCUUCAGUAUCUGUACAACUUUACUCCCAAGAGCUGGUGUAGAAUGAGUUCCUCUGGCCAUGGGAGGAUCGCAGAGGGGCACCUGCCACCAGCAGCCCAGCCUCAGCACUUUUCUCUUCAGCGUCUUCUUCAAGGUAUUUCCAGUUGCCCGCCCUGAACUGUUUCAGAAUGAGGAGGACACCUGGAGGAAUCUACACGUGCAUAGACCAAUUUGCAAAAGAACCUGUGAGCCAACGUAGGUUGUGAGAUGCAUAUCCCACAUCCAGUUCAGCCCAGUAACUUGGGAAAUGGGGGAGAGGUAGCUCUGAAGACCAGACUUAGUACAUUUUUACCCCCAUCCAUGCUUGCAACUGUAAGUUGAUCUUAAAUUAGUACUUUUAACCAAGUCAACCUCAAUCACUUGAAUAGGAUACCCAGCUGAAAAACUUGGGGUCACUGAAUCAAUCUCUUAUCUGUAAGAGAUAAUGAUGCCCACCCAAUGGGGUUCUGAAAAAUAUGUAAUGCCUGACAUGUAGUGUAUACUCACUGAAUGUGGCUUUUAACCACAACCUUUAUAUUUUUGCCGAGUAUCACCUUUCUGCAGCAACCGUGAGAACCUCGCGCUAAGCUUGUCUUAGAUUGCUCAUUCCUUUCCUAUAUUUAGACACCAAACUCCAUUCAUUUUCCCCUUGAAAUGUUCAUUCCCAUGAUCAAGAUUUUGCUUAAACACAUUUUGUUUUCAUGUCCAGAUUAUUACCUCAGCUGGAAGAAUUAAUAAGCAACACGUUCACCCAAGAAGUAUUUACUGAGCACCUACUAUGUGCAUUAUUUUCUGGUGUUGGGGCUAGGGGGCAAACGACUCUGACAAGUCUCUGUUCUCAAGGCUGGAGUGCAGCGGCGCGAUCUCGGCUCACUGCAAGCUCCGCCUCCCGGGUUCACGCCAUUCUCCUGCCUCAGCCUCCCGAGUAGCUGGGACUACAGGCGCCCGCAACCACGCCCGGCUAAUUUUUUGUAUUUUUAGUAGAGAUGGGGUUUCACCAUGUUAGUCAGGAUGGUCUCGAUUUCCUGACCUUGUGAUCCGCCCGCCCCCGCCUCCCAAAGUGCUGGGAUUACAGGCGUGAGCCACCGCGCCCGGCCGUAGUUUACAUUUUCUAAAGCGUACUCUGCCAGCCAAGUGGCAAACAGACUUGGGCCUCUUAAGAGUGGAAGCAGGAGGAAACCCGAAGAUCCUGGAGAGAGACUGGUGGCUGGUACCAGUGGAGAGGGAGCAAAAAGGAAAAUACAGGAUACAAUUUCAGGAAAAAUUUCAUACCAAUUUCCUGAGGUAAUUUCUGAACUCGAACAUUUUCAGUGUCACCACAUUGUGUUUCCUGCUGAAUCAAGUCUACAUCACUUCGGUUUUUAAAGCCUUCCACGAUCCUUCCCUGAACACUGUAGUUUUCACUGAUGGUUGGCUGUUUCAAACUCCCAUAUGAUCCAUACUGUAUCAUUAAUAAGCAAGCAAGGAAUAACACACCCUCUGCUAUUCUGUGCAGUGUUUCAGGUUUUUAGUUUUCUCUUUCAAGAUAGAAAAUCCCUUUAGAGUAGGAACUCGGCUGGCACUUUCUUUCACAUCCUGCAUAGCACUUAGCAAAGUUCUGUACACAGGGCACAUGUGGAAAUUGCUUAUUGAUUGAUUAAAAGCAUAUAUCACUGGCAUUUGUAUCUUCAGUAUUUCUCUUGUAUGAAGAAGGGUGAUUAUCUGUCAAUAUUCAUUGCAUCAUUGAACCAAUGUACAAUGCAUUAAUCAUCACUGAAGAUAACCAGAUGAGGCUUUAUUGUAAUCUCCUUCUAUUUUGCUGAGAUAAUUUCACUUGCUUUAGAGUUUAUGAGGCCAUAAGUGGCUCCCAUCUGUUGAUGAACAUAUUUCUAAGAGUCAUUUAGUCUCAAGUAUGGAAUACUUGAGGGGAAGUUAAAUUGUAACUUUUAUAUUAAGUGUCAUCUUAGUAACAGAACCAAAAUUGGAAGCAUGUGUUCAAUUUUGGUUUUUCAUUUUCAAAGCUUUAGGUCAGGCAAAGAAUUAAUUUCAUUUGUUUACAAAGUAGAUUAUGCCUAAUAAAAUCUAUUUUGUUUAUGGUCACAUUUUAAUCAAUCCACUGCUUUAGAAAAUGAGAGAAUUCUGAUUGGCUAAUCAUUCAACAUAGUAAAUUACAUUAUUCCACAUCCACAGAACACUGGCCUAAUUGCAUUAUCCAGUAAUGAUAAAAAUAUUCCUUUUAAUACAUUUUGAGCAAGGCAUAUACCAGUGAUGAAACAGGGAAGAAUCUUGUUUAUUCCAUCCUUGUUUGAUGAUCGACCACAGAAUAUAACAUAACACUUCUGUGUAUAAGAAUUUUUUCAACAUUAAGGAUAAUAAGGACAAGGUAGUUUUCACUGGAUCCUUACUGGUACUCUGAAUUUUCACUAUUUGUCCGCAUUUCUUCUCCUUCCCGGAAAUUUGUUUUCUGCGAAAAACAAGUGCUACUUUGUCAAAUAAAGCUUAAAUAAAAUUGGUUUCAAUUUAUGCAUAAUAAAAGGAAUGCCUAGUGACUUUCUAUCUCUAGUGGGAGGUAGAAAACUCUCCAGGGUGACUUUAUUCACUCCAGAGGUUCUGGUGAGCACCAAGGAACAUUACCUCUGCAAAAUGCAGACAUACGCAAAAGGAUGCAUCAAAUUUAAGAGAAGUCCGUAGAUAGAUAUCUGAGGGAUCUGCCUUAGGGGAUGUAGACCAUAUAUACAACACGAAUUCCACAGAAUUAGCCUGGUAUUCACGAUCACUGUUUCUUAAAACAUAACUCUUUUAUGUUACCAAGCAACUUUUAUCUGAGAUGAUGACUACUCGAAUACUUCUUUUGCAUAUCGCCAGAAAAUAUCAAGUUUUCAUUUGAGUCCUUAAUUCAAGUUCUUUAUCACAAGAAGAAAGAAUAGCAUGGAUAAAAUGGUUUAAAGGUAGCCAAAAAAAAAACAAAACAUUGUAUUUUAGAAUGCAUAUUCAAACAUAUUCCAAAAAAUACUGUAUUUUAGAAUGCAUAUUCAAACAUGAUGACAAGUGGGCUCUGUGGCUCAUAUUGACAAUAGCUUUAACCUAUGAAGUGAGUGUCUUUCUAUACGGAGGUGAUGAGUUACUCAAUACUGAACGGCUCUACUAAAUUGUGCUUUUGGCUAUUAGAACUUGGCUACUGCCUUUCGUUGCUAUGUGUUGAGAGAAAAAUCUCAAAUGAUGAUGCUAACCAUUUUGCUAAUAAAAUAUGCUAAGCUGAAACAUUUCAGUUACUCAGUUCAUCUUCUGGUACAGAUGCUAGCAAGCAGAGAAGGUUAUGAUUUGAAAAACUCAACAGAAAGGAGGAAAAAGAUGAGAAAAAGAUUGACUAGAAAAUUAUUCAUGGAAUAUAUUUCACCAGCCUAUUGGGUGUUAGCAUCUUAGGUGGUGUGGUUAAUGCUAAUUUACAUUAAAUGGUAAAUUAACUAUUUUUAUUUUUCAUAAAUGGUACAUUUUCAGUACGGAGUUUCAGUAUUCCAUAUUUUCUCACAUGGGUACAUACACAAUGACACUGUUAUUACUAACAAUAAAGAACUUGUAAGAGAGUUUUUAGAAGUAACAUGCUUUUCUAAGAAACACAAAGAAAACAUUUUAUAGUGAGUGAAAAUGAAGGUUUUUACUUCAAAUUCUCUUUUUAUUUCCAUGAUAUUUCUGCCUGGGCUCUGCCAAGGAAAACUGGCAGUGGGCAACGGAUUAUGCCAAUGUAUACUUUUUUCCCCUCUGAGUUUUUAAUCUCUUUUCAGGUGACAAAUAGUUUUCUCUUAGACCAGAUUCACUUUAUUUUUCACUUACUUAAUUAAAAAAGUAAUUUACCGCUCAACAGGGACCCUGGAGUAUAUGUAUGCUCAUCUUCAUGGUUAAAACACUUUGAAAAAAGACAUACCACAUCAUAAAAAUCUGUAUUCCAGGGUCUCAGAACAGACUGCUUCAGUAUUGGUGUCAGAAUUGGGGGAUUAAUUAGGGUGGUCAUAAGUGAGAUCAUUUAAUUAAUAGAACAGCUUCCAGAAGAGGUGGGAGUGUAGUAUAAUUGUGGAGAGAAAGGAAUUCAGAAUGAGAUACACCUGGAUUCACAUUUGAGGGCUGCCACUCAUCAGCGGAGUGCCAUUAAGGAAAGAUAUUUAAAGCAUCCCAGAAUAGUGGCUGUUGCUCACACUGUAGAUAGCAUUGGAUUGCCUUAUUUAAUCCUGGCAUGACCACUUAUGCAUGCAUGAUUUUAGACGAACUAAUUCGCCUCACUAAGAUGAAUCUUUUGAUUUGUUCCUACUUCGCAGGGUCACUGUUGUGAGGUUUAAGAGAGAUAAUUUAAUGUAAAAUUUAGCAUAAUGCCUACACACAAAAAGCUUGUCAAGCAUUUAAUAAUAAUACCGACCAUUAUUAUUACUAAUGUCGUGCUAAAUGUGGCAGGACCUGAAAAAUUACUAAAUCUGAUUUCAAGCCUGAGUUUCCACCUGUAUAAAGUGGAGAUUAAAAUCCUGGUCCUCACAGGGUUGUUGUAACAAAACAUGAGAUAUGGAGCACUGAGUGAUUAGCACAAUUAUUGAUGGCAAUUAUUCAGAAGCAUUGAGUGCUUGAAUGAGAGCUGUCUGUAUAUUUGAUUGUGAAUAGUUCUCACAGUGUUUAUUCCAACCACUAUUUUCUUCUUGGUGGUCAUGCUUUUAAAACAUCUGAAGGCCAUAUUCUCAGCUUUGCUUUGUCUUGUCAAUCUAGAUACCUUUCCACAGGUACCCUUCACAUUUUAACUUUCUUGGCUUCCAAUUAAAGAGGCAAAGCCCAGCACUUCGACAUUUACACUUAAGUAUUUUCUAGGUAGAAGCCAUCUGACCUUUAAAAAAGACAUCUUUUAUAAAUUCUUCUUUGUUAACCACCAUUAGUGUCACCACUUUUCGAUCCUUUCAGUCCUUCUUUCAGGAUUUUGAAAAAGACUCGUAAAUUGGAUAGCUUUUCUAAAAGUGCAACUCUCUCAAUUCUGAAGGUAAUCUUAAAAGGGAAUUAGGGACAUGUGGGAUCUUUACUAGCUCCAUUAGUGCCAAACUUGCAAAGAGAAACUAUCUUUAAGUCAAAAUUGUCUCCUUGAGUGCGUGGCCAUUUUGAUAAGAAUAGUGCAAGGUAAUGCAAUCCCACUUUAAAUUUAGAAGUUCUAAAGUUCACACUACACUGAAAAGUCAUCAGUGAGUGGCACUGCCAUGCUUACAUUAGAGGAAAGAAUCAGGUACUCAAGUCUUGAACCAGGCAAACCAUUUAAUGUUCUGCAGGCAAUAUGGAUAUGGACAUACAGGUAAAAAGAAGAUCUGGAUCUCCCUGCCCUUCAAUUCUUUCAUUUCCUGACUGUGUGACCAUUAUUCAUAAUGACCAUGUGCAGUCUUGGCUUGUUCCUUCUGUUUUUGGUUUAGAAUCCUUACCUGGGAGGGGAAGGAAGGAUACCUUGUUCCUGCCUUAUAAGAAUCAAUGACACAGCAGGUUUGAACAUUCCGGUGUAUAGGGAGUAGACUCUAAAUUUAGCAGCCCCUCUAGCUACUAGAAUAAGAAUUUAGUGAUCUGAAGAAUUUACAUUCUGCCAGCAGUUGAUCGAGUUCUUAUGAUAUGCAAGGCCCAACGUUGGACAUGGAAAUGAACCAAACACAAUCUCUUCCCUUUAGGGCAAUACUAGGUAGUUUCAAAAAUCAUGUUGGGAUAUAAAUGAUUAGAAUAUAGGGUAGAAAAUAUCUAUAGCAAAAGGGCAGAGAAAAUAAAAUGGGGUCAUGGAAGAGAGUGAGAUUAUUCUUGGCUAUGUGAUAAAGGAAAGCUUCAUGGAGAAGGUAGUAUUUGAGUUAGGUCUUAUAUGAGUAAAUUUUGUACAUGAAGAGAAGGGGAUUAGUACGUUGAUGAAAUAGUUUUAUAAAGAACCAACAGUUUUAUAUAAAGGAGUAGAAUGGGAAAUAAGUCUAGGAAGGUGGGGAGAAUCCUCUCCAAAGGAGUACAAGAUCCCAAGGCUUUGUAUUUCAUACUCCAAGGUUAGAAACGUAUUGUAUGGCUUUCCAUCAGAAUCACAUAUUGAGUUUUUGAAAUUGCAAAUGUCUGAGCAGGAUCAUUCCCAACAUUUGUGGGGCCUAGAGCAAGAGCAUGAAUGGAGGUCCACAUACUAUAUGUCGAACUAUUUCAAAGUGUUAAAGGAAGCUGCACCCAAGACCUGGUCCUUGUUCCCAUCCAAGGGACUGCUUUGGGACUAGGAGGCUUAAGAAGCCCUGCUGUCCCUCAAGGCCAUCCUGCACUAGAGGCCUGAUUCAUUGCUUGGAACUUCACGGGGGAAACAGGACGGACCCUGGACUUAGCCUGGGGACUCGUGGGCAGGGCCUGCAUCUGCCCCCAUCAAGGAUGGAAAUGACUCAGUCCAGGUCUUCUGGUUACUGAAGGAAAAGGUUCUCCUACCUCAUGUUUUACUUUUCUGAUUCCAGAUUACCAGGAGGUUCUAAGCACCAGGUGAAACUAUACUCACCCACUCCAUACCCCCUCCCCAAGCAGAGGGGAAGGUAGAAGUACAGUUACCUGGGGAACACAGUCUGCCUAUAUAUCCUCCCACUUCAGGGGCUACUGGGUGGCUAUCCAGAAACUAAAGCAUCCCUUCUUUCUUUGAUUUCACAGGGCCCACACAGCCUGACCUCUCUCAAUAAGGGGAUUUCACUCUUUUUUUGGUCUAUCCCAUUUGCCCAGAUGACCCAGUUCAGCUGCUAUGUUCCUUUCCAUGUUUUGUGUGCUCUCAAUUGGUCAUGAAACUUUAAAACAUGAGACUCAGAAAAAAAAACCUGUCUUUGCAUGACUGUGUUUGUGAUGCUUGGAGACUCCUAAAGCCUGUGACCUUUCUUGGUCUCGUCUGAGGGUUGUGCUGUGUCUUAACCCAAGUCUAGAGCUACUGACCCAGAAUGUCUUGGGGUUAGGAUUGGAGAUGGGGUCUCAGGAUCUGUGUUAACAAGUUUCAGGGGUGACUAUAAUGCCCAGUCAGGGUUAAAAUCACUGUUAACAAUAGGGGAGGUUUUUCUACUUAGUUUUUAUUUCUCAGCAAGAUGAUAUUUUAAAAAGCAAACUGCAGGAGAAUGGAAGAUGAAUAGAAAGGUGGUGAGGCUAACAGGAGAGCCUCAGGAAAUCACCGAGCAAAUGAGACAAGGGCCUGGAUGAAGCAGGGGUUAUGGGUGGAGGUGAGAAGCUGGUUGGGAGAGGUCAACAGGAGAUCCCAUCAGAAGUGCCCAGUGCUCAGAGGGAGUGAUGGAGUCGAGGAUGACUCUGAGGUUUCCGGCUUGUUAUGGGUCAUAUUAUGUCCCCCAAACAGAUAUGUUGAAGUCCUAACUCCUAGUACCUAAGAAUACAACCUUGUUUGAUAAUAGGGUCUUUGCAACUGCAAUUAAGUUAAGAGAAGGUCAUUGAGGGAAAGCCCUAAGCCAAGAUGGCUGGGAUCCUUAUAAGAAGGGGAGGGACACAAAGGGAGGGCAGCCAUGUGUCCACAGGGGCAGAGAGUGGAGUGAUGUGGCUGUAAGCCAAGGAAUGUCAAGGAUUGCUGGCAAGCACUAGAAGCUAAAAAGAGCAAGGAAGGAUCCUUCCCUACAGGUUUCAGAGAGACUAUGGCCCUGCUGACCCCGUAUUUUGUAUGUGAGACAAUACAUUUCUGUUGUUUUAAGGCACCUGUUCAUGGUACUUUGUUUUGGCAGCCCUAGGGACCGAAUACAGAGCUGUAAUGGCCUGCACUGGUGUUGCCUCUCUCUGCACUGGGUCAUCAGUGAGGGCAAGCGUUUCUCGUAGACAGCACCUGUCUAUGAAUGUUCUCCACAGCAUAGACAUCCUCUGCACCAGAAACAGAGCCUCAUAUUCGGUGUUCCUCUUUGUUAUCUAGCUGCACAAACACAAGGUAUUAAUUCACUAAGGGUUUCAAUUAUCUGCUAUAUAAAAAGGCAUAAACAUAAAAGGUUUUAAUUGUCUUUUAUAUAAUAAGGCAGUUUCCAAAAAUUAAAUUAGGAUUUUUACAUUUAGUUUUCCCAUUCUCAUGCUGACCAUAUUUUAAUUUGAUUUCGAAAGCAUUUUUGGUAAUAUUUUAAAGUAUUAUCUUUCAUCUAGUAUCAUAAAAAUUAUUUAGAAAACCUAUAGAAGAUUUCAUCUCUACAAGUAACAUUUUUCAGAUAGGAAAUGAUUGCAGCAUUGAACUGCCAAAGAGACAGCUGAAAAAAAAAAUGGGUCAUGCAUUCAUCCCAUUCUAGAACAGAGGCUGCCAAGCAGUUCACUGCUCAUUUUUGUCCUGUUCUCGUAAACAAGCUGCGUUAACAAGUUACUUUUAAAAAGCAUACUAAUUUCCCCAGUGAAUUGCACAGGAAAGAAUCCAGCGUUCCCUCCAGAGGACUCAAAUAGUUGUUUGUUCUCAGAGCUCAGGUGUGGUAAAAUAGCCGUGGGCUAAAAGCACAGGCUGGAUAUUGGCCAGCAGGCUAGAGCUUCCCCUCCACUCCUGAUUUCUCACGUUGGUGAGAAACUCAUAGCCUGCCUGAUGUGGGGGGGAGAAAAGACUCGAUUUUCAAUUUCAAUUUAAUUACACAAUCCAUAGUGCCUAAUGGGAAGGAUUUAGCGGCAAGAUUAAUGCUCAGCAGCGCUCCAUUUUGCCUUUUUUUUUUGAUAAAAAAUACUGUAUGGAUUAUCUAAAGUGGGUUUUCAAAAAUGUUUUUCAAGAGCCAAAUUAUUUUGGUGGCAUAGUGAUUUGAAAAAGAAGGUGACUUUAUUUCUUGACUCUCUGCCAGAGUUUAUAUAAAUUAGAGGUAUAAGAUACCUUUUUGAAUUGUAUUGCCAGUGUAUCAUUCUUGAGAGUGGGGAGCACUUCUUUACUUGGGAGAAGAAUGAAUAGAAAUUUCACUGUAGGAUUAGAAAUAUAAGCAAUGAUUGAAGGAGACGACGAUCUGUUCUGAGAAUGACUGUAAAAUUAAAAUAUUAAGACCUUUCCCUCUUCAGUUAAAUCCUAAAGAAUUUCACUCUCUUAUUGAGACUGAAAACCAUUAUAAUUUUAUAUGGCAUCAGAUCAAUAUUUAAGAUUAUGAGUAAAUAUUUGGCAUUCUAUUUUGGUGUCUACAUAUUUUGUUAGUUUUGCUAAACGUAAAAAGAAGCUAAAAUAGGAAAUGGAAAUCUACCC
rnacentral:lncRNA from 10 species